AUUGAACGCUGGCGGCAGGCUUAACACAUGCAAGUCGAGCGGGGACUUCGGUCCUAGCGGCGAACGGGUGAGGAAUGCUUGGGAAUCUGCCUUGUAGUGGGGGAUAACGUUUCGAAAGGAACGCUAAUACCGCAUACGUCCUACGGGAGAAAGGGGGGGAUCUUCGGACCUCUCGCUAUAAGAUGAGCCCAAGUCGGAUUAGCUAGUUGGUGGGGUAAAGGCUCACCAAGGCGACGAUCCGUAGCUGGUCUGAGAGGAUGAUCAGCCACACUGGAACUGAGACACGGUCCAGACGCCUACGGGAGGCAGCAGUGGGGAAUAUUGGACAAUGGGCGAAAGCCUGAUCCAGCCAUGCCGCGUGUGUGAAGAAGGCCUUCGGGUUGUAAAGCACUUUAAGCGAGGAGGAAUGGCUCUGGGUUAAUACCCUUGAGCAGUGUCGUUACUCGCAGAAUAAGCACCGGCUAACUCUGUGCCAGCCGCCGCCGUAA
rnacentral:rRNA from 1 species